UACGUAGGGUGCAAGCGUUAAUCGGAAUUACUGGGCGUAAAGCGUGCGCAGGCGGUCGUGCAAGACCGAUGUGAAAUCCCCGGGCUUAACCUGGGAAUGGCAUUGGUGACUGCACGGCUAGAGUGUGUCAGAGGGGGGUAGAAUUCCACGUGUAGCAGUGAAAUGCGUAGAGAUGUGGAGGAAUACCGAUGGCGAAGGCAGCCCCCUGGGAUAACACUGACGCUCAUGCACGAAAGCGUGGGGAGCAAACGGG
rnacentral:rRNA from 1 species